AUUGAACGCUGGCGGCAGGCCUAACACAUGCAAGUCGAGCGGAUGAAGGGAGCUUGCUCCUGGAUUCAGCGGCGGACGGGUGAGUAAUGCCUAGGAAUCUGCCUGGUAGUGGGGGAUAACGUCCGGAAACGGGCGCUAAUACCGCAUACGUCCUGAGGGAGAAAGUGGGGGAUCUUCGGACCUCACGCUAUCAGAUGAGCCUAGGUCGGAUUAGCUAGUUGGUGGGGUAAAGGCCUACCAAGGCGACGAUCCGUAACUGGUCUGAGAGGAUGAUAAGUCACACUGGAACUGAGACACGGUCCAGACUCCUACGGGAGGCAGCAGUGGGGAAUAUUGGCCAAUGGGCGAAAGCCUGAUCCAGCCAUGCCGCGUGUGUGAAGAAGGUCUUCGGAUUGUAAAGCACUUUAAGUUGGGAGGAAGGGCAGUAAGUUAAUACCUUGCUGUUUUGACGUUACCAACAGAAUAAGCACCGGCUAACUUCGUG
rnacentral:rRNA from 1 species